rnacentral:rRNA from 1 species
AAAACUUUCAACAACGGAUCUCUUGGUUCUGGCAUCGAUGAAGAACGCAGCGAAAUGCGAUAAGUAAUGUGAAUUGCAAAAUUCAGUGAAUCAUCGAAUCUUUGAACGCAUAUUGCGCCCUUUGGUAUUCCGAAGGGCAUACCUGUUCGAGCGUCAUUA